AAACAAACAAGCAAACAAAUAAUCGCGAAAGAAAACAAAUAUAUAUUAUAUAUUUUUAAGAGCACCUAGUAUUCAUUUUUGAAUCUUUGCAUGCUGAGGAUGUCAAUUUGUAGACUUGGGGUAUUAUCUGUCGUUCAAAGUAUUUUUUCAG
rnacentral:sRNA from 1 species